GAUGAAGAACGUAGCGAAAUGCGAUAAGUAGUGUGAAUUGCAGAAUUCAGUGAAUCAUCGAAUCUUUGAACGCACAUUGCGCCCUUUGGUAUUCCUUAGGGCAUGCCUGUUCGAGCGUCAUUUAAACCUUCAAGCUAAGCUUGGUGUUGGGUGACUGUCCGCUUCACGGCGGACUCGCCUCAAAAUUAUUGGCGGCCGGUACAUUGGCUUCGAGCGCAGCAGAAACGCGAACUCGGGCCCGUCGUAUUGGCUCCCAGAAGCUAUCUUCACAAUUUUGACCUCGGAUCAGGUAGGGAUACCCGCUGAACUUAAGCAUAUCAAUAAGAGGAGGA
rnacentral:misc_RNA from 1 species